rnacentral:lncRNA from 1 species
UUCCCUCCCAUCGCUUUCCUUUCUUCCCAUCUUCCUCUCUUAUCUGGGUGCACUCUCUCUCCCUUCCUGUCACUCUCUUUUUUCUCAUCAUGGUCUUUCUCUCUCACUCCUCUUCUUCUUCUUCCUCCUCCUCCUCUUCUUUUUCUUUCUUUGGUGUAGCUUGCUAUCCUUAUUUCUUUUUUCUCACCUUGGGUAAGACCUGAAGCCCUUUUUACCUUUAGUUUGAUUUAAAUUUAAGAUUCAACCAUUGAUAGUUUAGAGUAAUAAGUGAGGUAAUGGUUGAAAUCAUGGAUUGAUAAGAUGGAGAAGAAUUGCAGGGAAAGAAUAUUAGAAAAAAUUGAUGUUAAUUUUAGGACAGAUUGACUCUAUCCUAUGAUAAUCCAAGAUUUUUAACUCUCUAACGACCAAGUAGUCUAAUCUAAAAAUUUAAAUGGAGAUUGUUAGCUAAUUGGUCAAUUCAAUUGCAAAAUUUGAGAAUUUCUGGAUACUAUUUGUCAGAUCAAAUAGGACAAAUAAUGGGCCUA